UACGGAGGGUGCAAGCGUUGCUCGGAAUUAUUGGGCGUAAAGGGUAGGUAGGUGGUCUCAUUUGUCUGGGGUGAAAGCCUUGGGCUUAACCUAAGAAGUGCCCCAGAAACGGUGAGACUAGAGUCCUGGAGAGGGUCGUGGAAUUCCCGGUGUAGCGGUGAAAUGCGUAGAGAUCGGGAGGAACACCAGAGGCGAAGGCGGCGACCUGGACAGGCACUGACACUCAACUACGAAAGCGUGGGGAGCAAACAGG
rnacentral:rRNA from 1 species